AGAGACGAAAGUCGGGCUUAGUGAUCCCACGGUACCGAGUGGAAGGGCCGUGGCUCAUCGGAUAAAAGCUACCCCGGGGAUAACAGGCUAGUCUUGCCCAAGAGUUCACAUCGACGGCAAGGCUCGGCACCUCGAUGUCGGCUCAUCGCAUCCUGGGGCUGUAUAAGGUCCCAAGGGUUGGGCUGUUCGCCCAUUAAAGCGGUACGUGAGCUGGGUUCAGACCGUCGUGAGACAGGUCGGUCUCUAUCCGCUGUGGGCGUAAGGGAUUUGAGAGGAGCUGCUCCUAGUACGAGAGGACCGGAGUGGACAGACCUCUGGUGUGCCAGUUGUCGUGCCAACGGCAUCGCUGGGUAGCCACGUCUGGCAGAGAUAACCGCUGAAAGCAUCUAAGUGGGAAACUCGCCCCAAGAUAAGAUCCCUCAUCCCGUUAAGGGAGUAAGGCCGCAGGUAGACUACCUGCUUGAUAGGCGGCAAGUGUAAGCACAGCAAUGUGUUCAGCUAAGCCGUACUAAUGGCCGAGGGCUUAACCUG
rnacentral:rRNA from 1 species